rnacentral:tRNA from 1 species
GCCUGGGUGGCUCAGUCGGUUGAGCGUCCGACUUCGGCUCAGGUCAUGAUCUCGUGGUUUGUGGGUUCGAGCCCCGCAUCGGGCU